ACUAUAUGGAAUCCUACCAACCUCCAAGUGUCUUCAACUUUUGGACAGCUAAGUAAACAGUGGAGGUUCAGAUUUUGACAACGGUCUGACAAUUGCUCUAUUGGGAGAUGGAAGAACUGAUAAGUUAUGUUAUAUGCACUAGAGACUGAAUAGCAACCUGACUUCUCUCUCAACCAAGUAUUUUCUGGCUGAAAUUGAGGGACCUGAGCAAAAAUCUGAUUCAG